UACGUAGGGUGCGAGCGUUGUCCGGAAUUAUUGGGCGUAAAGGGCUCGUAGGCGGUUUGUCGCGUCGGGAGUGAAAUCCACUGGCUUAACUGGUGGCUUGCUUUCGAUACGGGCAGACUGGAGGUAUGCAGGGGAGAACGGAAUUUCUGGUGUAGCGGUGAAAUGCGCAGAUAUCAGGAGGAACACCGGUGGCGAAGGCGGUUCUCUGGGCAUGUCCUGACGCUGAGGAGCGAAAGUGUGGGGAGCGAACAGG
rnacentral:rRNA from 1 species